AUGAAUAUCAUCACUCAUAUCAGGCAUGUUUAUAAAAAUGAGAGAUUAUGUCCUUUUUGGCAUAUUUCAUCUUCUUUAGGACACAAAGAGAAGCUUGCUUCAGUUUGCUGUCACGUAAAAUUAGAAGACAUGAAUGGCCAGAUGGAUGGAAAAAUAGCAGCACACUACUAAAAGUCCUUGCCACAACGCUGUCUAGAAUAGGAUAAGACAAUGUUAGUAUGAUACUGAUGAACUGAUGCACAGCAGAGGAGUAGAAAUGAAAUUAUAGCUUUUAUAGGUCUUACAUGGGCUUCUCUGCUGGGAUCCCUGGAAUAAACACCGUGUAGCUUCAUCUGUCUGGUGUGGCUCCAUAAGGACAGGAGUAAGAGAAAAAUGGAGGCCAGUGUUUCCACAAAAGGAAGGAUGAACAUCCUCUGAAGGAGAAACAGAGAAGUGAAAUCAUGCAUGGUCUCCAUAUAGUUAAAUGUCAAGUUGCCUUUUAUUAUUACCCAUUCUUGGAUUAAACUAUUUAUUAUUUCUUUCAAAAUGAAAGUUGUGCAGAAAGAGAUCAUUGCCUCUAGUACAACAAAAAGAAGCACCUUGUGAAUUCUCUAUUUCAUCCAGAGGAAAAUGGGUUUGGAGAAGUUGGCUACCUUGAAGAAAUGGAAGACACUAAGUGGCUGGUACAGUACAGGCAGAAAUAGUUGGAUCCUGUCCAGAGAAUGUCAAAACUUACUGCAAGAUUCUUAGAAUCAGGCAUUUUCUCAUAGCCUAUAUUGAAAGAGAUAGCUAAAAUUGUUUCCACAGGAAACAUAUCCUGGAGAUGGCCAAGCAGUUGAGAAUAAAAUCAAUCAGGGAGACCUUUCAGUUCCUGGUUCAAUGAUGUUUACCAAUACAAUGAAUCCAUUUCCCACAAUCCCCGUUAUGAAUUAUACAACAGGAACUAUUAUAAACAAUGCCUCCUGAAUGCUUGACAUGCCUGUACAUAGUGAACGUCUGCCUUCAAUACACCAUUGACUGAUUGAUUCUAGCUGCACUCUUAUAGAUUUAUGUAUCCGAAGGAGUGACUUCUUUCUGUUUUUUUGAUGGCCAUUGGUGGAGUCUGGAGAGAUCCAAGGUGUGCUCUAAAAUUAGAUUUCAACUAAAUUGUAAAAUAUACAAGUUUUUUUUCCCCCUUGAAGGUAUCAGCUAGUGAUUUUCAAGGCAAAUAUUAUAUUCCCUGCUGCUAUUGACUCUGGUUAUAUUUUACAUGGAAAGUUCUGCAUUCAAAUUUGAACCCCGAUUUGUUAACAUGCAAAAUUAAAGUAGAUUCUCCUUUAUAGUUCUAUAAUGCCAUCCUUUGCUUAAAAAUUAUUCAUUUGUGUGAUGUAUCCCUUUGAUUCAGCUAUCACCCUGGGCUAGAAACUCUAAGCCCCCAUCUAGAAAAAUGCAGUAUAUCUUUAGAGUUUAUGAUCAGCAUAUUUCUUCAUUGUCAACCUCACCAAUACAGAUUGAUUAAAAAAUAUGCAAGUUUAAGAAAAUGGAGAAAACAGCUCUCUGAUAUAAUACCAAAAUCUUUUAGAGAGUAUGGAAGUUUUAGGCUGGGCGCAGUGGCUCAUGCCUGAAAUCCCAGCACUUUAAGAGGCUGAGGCAGGUGGAUCACCUGAGGUCAGGAGUUCGAGACCAGCCUGGCCAACAUGGUGAAACCUCGUCUCUACUAAAAUACAGAAAUUAGCUGGGCGUAGUGGCGUACACCUGUAAUCCCGGUUACUUGGGAGCCUAAGGCAGAAGAAUCACGUGAACCCGGGAGGCAGAGGUUUCAG
rnacentral:lncRNA from 1 species